GAAACGACAAACCUAGGGUUAAAAAGUUGGAUCCCGACUGCGAGUCGACUCCCCUGAGUCGCGAGUCGACUCGACCUCGAGUCGACUCCAGAAUAUGCGCGAGUCGACUCCCGACAGUGUGCGAGUCGACUCUCCCUCAGCUGCCAACUUUGCGAGUCGACUCCCGCAAAUGCGCGAGUCGACUCCCCCUUAGGAGCCGGCUCUGAAACUUACUCGAGUCGUCUCUAACCUUGGCACGCACCUAAAAACCAUGCCAUAAUCGUGCCAAAUGAGG
rnacentral:lncRNA from 1 species